rnacentral:pre_miRNA from 1 species
CUCUUAUUCCCUCCGUUCGAAAUUACUUGUCACAAAAAUGGAUGUAUUUACAACUAAAAUACAUUUAGAUACAUUUAUUUUUUAGACGAGUAAUUCCGAACGGAGGGAGUACUUC